rnacentral:tRNA from 1 species
GAGAAAGAAUGCAAGAAUUGCUAACUCAUGCUUCCAUGCCUGACAACCUGGCUUUCUCA